AGCGAGAGCGUUAAGACUGGCUGGCGCUGUCACUCGGCUCAUAACCGAAUACAAGUGGUUCGAUUCCACCUCUCGCUUCCA
rnacentral:tRNA from 1 species